UAAAUAGGCAUUUUUGUUUCCUGAAUUGAAUACUCUCCUCUAUGUUUGACCUUCCACAUUCCAACUUUGAAGAGCCCAGUCCCAGAAAACCUGAAGACAGCAUUUCUCCCAAGUUCCUGCAGAGUCCAGGGUUAGGUGGCAUCUUGGUCAUGAGGUGGUGCUUUCCCCAUGAUAAAAGCUGGAGUCAGAGAUCAGAACUUCCUCAAGCUGUUAAACUUCUGACAUCUGCAAAGCCAAGAGUUCAGAGGCAAUGUCAAAAUCAUUAUCUGCAACUGAACGAGAAACUUUUUUUUGCUCUCAGUCACACAGGCAAGUCCCUUUUCUUUUAUUUUCAUAUGGUUUCACAGGGUUUGAGGCCAGAAGGAGUGAUUAGAUCAUCUAAUUUGUCUUGCUGUGAAUUGCAAGUCACUGCUACCUUCUUAGAUUCUCCCAGGUGACUUUGAUCUCAAGCAUUCAUCUCCACAGGCAACCAAACCUCUGGGAAAUGGGAGAAAUGGACAUAAACUUAGUAACUGAGGCUCCUGCAAUGGCAAGGAAUAAACUCAUCGUGCUGAGUGUGACCA
rnacentral:lncRNA from 1 species